rnacentral:sRNA from 1 species
CAGGAUAGAUACAUCACAGGCAGCAACAGUACAAGGUUUCCCUACACCACCUCGGCAUAUGCCUCAACCCUGACCUGCAGGGAACCCCUCUCAA